rnacentral:rRNA from 1 species
UACGAAGGGGGCUAGCGUUGCUCGGAAUCACCGGGCGUAAAGCGCACGUAGGCGGAUUUGUAAGUCAGGGUGAAAUCCCGGGGCUCAACCUCGGAACUGCCUUUGAUACUGCAAAUCUCGAGUCCGGAAGAGGUGAGUGGAAUUCCUAGUGUAGAGGUGAAAUUCGUAGAUAUUAGGAAGAACACCAGUGGCGAAGGCGGCUCACUGGUCCGGUACUGACGCUGAGGUGCGAAAGCGUGGGGAGCAAACAGGG